rnacentral:misc_RNA from 1 species
UUUAGUUAUAGAGGCGAUAUAGUGCAGCCUCAGUUGAAAUCGCCACCUGUUUAUCACCAAGUGCAUGAAAAGCCUCAACAUUAUUAUCAGGCUUCUUUGAGUAGGGAUGAGGAAGAGAGUAGAAGAUCAUUUGAUUAUGAGUACAGAUAUGAAGCUGCACGCUGCACUGGUGUGGAUUAUGAUAUAGAAUAUGACAGUGCUAGAAAUAGGUUUCAUCCCAAAGAUGUUUCAUGCUACACGG